rnacentral:rRNA from 1 species
UACAGAGGGUGCAAGCGUUAAUCGGAAUUACUGGGCGUAAAGCGCACGUAGGCGGUUUUUUAAGUCAGAUGUGAAAGCCCGGGCUCAACCUGGGAAUUGCAUUUGAAACUGGGGAACUAGAGUGUGUGAGAGGGGGGUAGAAUUCCAAGUGUAGCGGUGAAAUGCGUAGAGAUUUGGAGGAAUACCAGUGGCGAAGGCGGCCCCCUGGCACAACACUGACGCUCAGGUGCGAAAGCGUGGGGAGCAAACAGG